UGCUUCCUACGGGACGCAGCAGUGGGGAAUAUUGCGCAAUGGGGGAAACCCUGACGCAGCAACGCCGCGUGCGGGAUGAAGGCUUUCGGGUUGUAAACCGCUUUCAGCAGGGAUGACUUCGACAGUACCUGCAGAAGAAGCCCCGGCUAACUACGUGCCAGCAGCCGCGGUAAUACGUAGGGGGCGAGCGUUAUCCGUAUUCAUUGGGCGUAAAGCGCGCGCAGGCGGACUCAUAAGCUGAGCCUUUAAUCUUGGUGCUUAACCUCAA
rnacentral:rRNA from 1 species